AUAUUACUCCCUCCGUUCGGAAAUACUUGUCCUAAAAAUGGUUGUAUCUAGACUUGUUUUAUUUCUAGAUACAACCAUUUCUAAGACAAGUAUUUCCGAACGGAGGGAGUAGUUA
rfam:Triticum aestivum genome assembly, contig: Triticum_aestivum_CS42_TGACv1_scaffold_393561_5AS